GAACGCUGGCGGCAUGCCUUACACAUGCAAGUCGAACGGCAGCGACGGGAGCAAUCCGUGGUGGCGAGUGGCGAACGGGUGAGUAAUGUAUCGGAACGUACCUUCAGGUGGGGGAUAACGUAGCGAAAGUUACGCUAAUACCGCAUAUUCUGUGAGCAGGAAAGCAGGGGAUCGCAAGACCUUGCGCUGAUUGAGCGGCCGAUAUCAGAUUAGCUAGUUGGUGAGGUAAAGGCUCACCAAGGCGACGAUCUGUAGCGGGUCUGAGAGGAUGAUCCGCCACACUGGAACUGAGACACGGUCCAGACUCCUACGGGAGGCAGCAGUGGGGAAUUUUGGACAAUGGGCGCAAGCCUGAUCCAGCCAUGCCGCGUGAGUGAAGAAGGCCUUCGGGUUGUAAAGCUCUUUCAGCCGGGAAGAAAACGCAUGGGUUAAUACCCUGUGUGGAUGACGGUACCGGAAUAAGAAGCACCGGCUAACUACGUG
rnacentral:rRNA from 1 species